rnacentral:rRNA from 1 species
AUUGAACGCUGGCGGUAUGCUUAACACAUGCAAGUCGAACGGCAGCAGGCCUUCGGGCGCUGACGAGUGGCGGACGGGUGAGUAACGCGUAGGAAUCUGCCUCAUAGUGGGGGACAACGUGGGGAAACUCACGCUAAUACCGCAUAAGCCCUACGGGGGACAGCGGGGGCUCUUCGGACCUCGCGCUAUGAGAUGAGCCUGCGUUAGAUUAGCUAGUUGGUAGGGUAAAAGCCUACCAAGGCGACGAUCUAUAGCUGGUCUGAGAGGACGAUCAGCCACACUGAGACUGAGACACGGCCCAGACUCCUACGGGAGGCAGCAGUGGGGAAUAUUGGACAAUGGGCGCAAGCCUGAUCCAGCAAUACCGCGUGUGUGAAGAAGGCCCUAGGGUUGUAAAGCACUUUCAAUUGGGAGGAAAACCUGCCGGUCAAUACCCGGCAGCUUGACAUUACCUUUAGAAGAAGCACCGGCUAACUCCGUGCCAGCCGCCGCAGUAAAAC